rnacentral:rRNA from 1 species
UGAGCCAAGUUUAGGGUUUCUUAAAAACCCAAGCAGUAUUGAACUGAAGAGUUUGAUCAUGGCUCAGAUUGAACGCUGGCGGCAGGCCUAACACAUGCAAGUCGAGCGGAUGA